AUUGAACGCUGGCGGCAUGCCUUACACAUGCAAGUCGAACGGCAGCACGGGAGCAAUCCUAGUGGCGAGUGGCGAACGGGUGAGUAAAGUAUCGGAACGUGCCCAGUCGUGGGGGAUAACGUAGCGAAAGUUACGCUAAUACCGCAUACGAUCUAUGGAUGAAAGCGGGGGAUCGCAAGACCUCGCGCGAUUGGAGCGGCCGAUAUCAGAUUAGGUAGUUGGUGGGGUAAAGGCUCACCAAGCCGACGAUCUGUAGCUGGUCUGAGAGGACGACCAGCCACACUGGGACUGAGACACGGCCCAGACUCCUACGGGAGGCAGCAGUGGGGAAUUUUGGACAAUGGCGAAAGCCUGAUCCAGCCAUGCCGCGUGCAGGAUGAAGGCCUUCGGGUUGUAAACUGCUUUUGUACGGAACGAAAAGGUUUGGCCUAAUAAGCUGAGCUCAUGACGGUACCGUAAGAAUAAGCACCGGCUAACUACGUGCCAGCAGCCGCCGUAA
rnacentral:rRNA from 1 species